UACAGAGGUCUCAAGCGUUUGUUCGGAUUCAUUGGGCGUAAAGGGUGCGUAGGUGGUGGGGUAAGUCGGAUGUGAAAUCCCCAGGCUCAACUUGGGAACUGCGUCUGAUACUGGAUGGCUUGAAUUCGGGAGAGGGAUGCAGAAUUCCAGGUGUAGCGGUGAAAUGCGUAGAUAUCUGGAGGAAUACCGGUGGCGAAGGCGGCAUCCUGGACCGAGAUUGACACUGAUGAGCGAAAGCUAGGGGAGCAAACGGG
rnacentral:rRNA from 1 species